GGAUGGGCCCGCGCCCGAUUAGCUAGUUGGUGAGGUAACGGCUCACCAAGGCGACGAUCGGUAACCGGCCUGAGAGGGCGAUCGGUCACACCGGAACUGAGACACGGUCCGGACUCCUACGGGAGGCAGCAGUGGGGAAUCUUGCGCAAUGGGCGAAAGCCUGACGCAGCAACGCCGCGUGGAGGAUGAAGGCCCUUGGGUUGUAAACUCCUGUCGGCUGGGAAGAAAUCGUUCGGGGCUCAUACCCCCGGACGUUGACUGUACCAGCAAAGGAAGCCCCGGCUAACUCUGUGCCAGCAGCCGCGGUAAUACAGAGGGGGCCAGCGUUAUUCGGAAUUAUUGGGCGUAAAGGGCGCGUAGGCGGCCACGCGUGUCUUCCGUGAAAUCCCUCGGCUUAACUGAGGACGUGCGGAAGAAGCUGCGAGGCUUGAGUCCGGGAGAGGGGGGUGGAAUUCCCAGUGUAGCGGUGAAAUGCGUAGAUAUUGGGAGGAACACCGGUGGCGAAGGCGGCCCCCUGGACCGGUACUGACGCUGAUGCGCGAAAGCGUGGGGAGCAAACGGGAUUAGAUACCCCGGUAGUCCACGCCGUAAACGAUGGGCACUUGGUGUCGCGGGUAUCGACCCCUGCGGUGCCGAAGCUAACGCAUUAAGUGCCCCGCCUGGGGAGUACGGUCGCAAGGCUGAAACUCAGAGGAAUUGACGGGGGCCCGCACAAGCGGGUGGAGCAGGUGGGUCCAUUCGAAGCAACG
rnacentral:rRNA from 1 species